CCCCCCCCCCCCCCCCCCCCCCACGUCACAUCGCUGUACUCUCCUGCUGCAUCUUUUGUCCCUUUGUGUUGCCACUGUCUGGCUCAUUCCUACACAGACCCUUUUGGAGAUUGGGGGAGGGGUGUGUGUUUGUGUGCAUGUGUGUGUGCAUUUGGUGUUUGUGUGUGAGUGCGUGCGUACGUGCGUGUGUUUGGUGUGUUUGCAUGUGCGCGCGCUCAUGAAGGAGUGUGUGUGUGUGCUUCAUGAAGGAGUGUGUGUGUGUGCUUCAUGAAGGUGUGUGUGUGUGUGCUUCAUGAAGGAGUGUGUGUGUGUGCUUCAUGAAGGAGUGUGUGUGUGUUCUUCAUGGAGGAGUGUGUGUGUGUGUGCUUCAUGAAGGAGUGUGUGUGUGUGUGCUUCAUGAAGGAGUGUGUGUGUGUGUGCUUCAUGAAGGAGUGUGUGUGUGUGCUUCAUGAAGGAGUGUGUGUGUGUGCUUCAUGAAGGAGUGUGUGUGUGUGCUUCAUGGAGGAGUGUGUGUGUGUGUGCUUCAUGAAGGAGUGUGUGUGUGUGCUUCAUGAAGGAGUGUGUGUGUGUGUGCUUCAUGAAGGAGUGUGUGUGUGUGCUUCAUGAAGGAGUGUGUGUGUGCUUCAUGAAGGAGUGUGUGUGUGUGCUUCAUGAAGGAGUGUGUGUGUGUGUGCUUCAUGAAGGAGUGUGUGUGUGUGCUUCAUGAAGGAGUGUGUGUGUGUGUGUGCAUUCAUGAAGGAGUGUGUGUGUGUGCUUCAUGAAGGAGUGUGUGUGUGUGCUUCAUGAAGGAGUGUGUGUGUGUGCUUCAUGCAGAGAACAGAGCGUCUGAUCUGGGGUGCAUCCAUGCAACAGGCUGCAGCAGGGCAGGGCCAUGACAUCAGACACCCCUCUUCCCUCUCUCUCUCCAUCCCUCCAAACCCAACCCCCUCCGGGCCUCCUCCCCUGAUCUCCCAGCCUGUGAAGAGGAUACCGCAGCAGGCUGGAGGUCGGAGGGGGCUAUGGCCCGAUGAUAUGGCGCCCAGCCCAGGCAGUGUGGGGGGGCUGGUGGACUGGAGAGGGUUGGAGAGAGCCUGAUGGUAUGGGGCUGUGGAGCUCUGAAGCUCCCUCCCAGUGAAGGGUCAAACCCCCCUCUCCCUACACAAGUUCUGGGGUCUGUGGGGGUUUCUGUCUCCUGACUUGGCCCAGCUGGACACCCUGGAUCUGUGUGUGUGUGUGUGUGUGUGUGUGCGUGCUUGGAUGCAUGAAAUAUGGACUGCUGAACCCAAGGACACUCAGCUCGGCAACAACACAACAUCAACACAGUUUGGAGUUUCUUCAUGAGCAAGUCUCUCGUUUCAGACUGUGUUCCAAGACCUGGUGCCAGGAUUAGGAAGAGAAGCUGCUGCCUUGGCAACGUUCCCUAAUAGAUACAAAGGGCUCCCGAGUGGCGCAGCGGUCUAAGGCACUCAGCGUCACUACAGACCCCGGUUCGAUUCCAGGCUGUAUCACAACCGGCCGUGAUUGGGAGUCCCAUAGGGCGGCGUACAAUUGGCCCAGCGUUGUCCGGGUUAGGGUUUGGCCGGGGUAGGCUGUCAUUGUAAAUAAGAAUUUGUUCUUGACUAACUUGCCUAGUUAAAUAAAGGUUAAAUAAAAAAUACACAUAUUUUCAUCUCAGUAUAUAUUGCAUGUACAUAUAUAGCGAUCAUAUAGAGUUGAAAUAAUAAUGAAUAAUGUGGAUGAUAUUUUGUACUGUGUAGUUUAUGACUAUGUCAUAAACACUAGGUAUUAAAUACAGAUUACAGUUAUAUUUACAGACAGAUAUAGCAUACUACUAGGCUAUCCAUUGUGUUGGUAUGUGUCUCACCAUUCUUGCACUUCUUUAUGCUUGUGUGUGUGGGUGUGGGUGUGGGUGUGUGUGGGUGUGGGUGUCACUACGCCUUAAAUGUGCGUGCGUGCGUGUAUGUGCACGCCUGUGUGUGUGUUGGAGAGUAAUCACAGAAUAUAAAGAGCUUGUUGUACAGAGUGAAACUGGGUUUGAAGUAAGAGGGGAGAUGUUUUCUGUUUGGCUGGCCACACUGAAUAGCCCUAUUCACCAGGCCCUCUUACUGCAAGCUCCAUUAUCCCCAUUGUCAUCUCCCCUCAGUCUCUCUGGCCCCCCUCCCCCUUAACACUGCUGGGACAGGGUGAGGCCGGGGGGGGUGUAGGAGGGGAGGCCCGAAGGAAAAGAGAGGGGAAGAGGGAGGGACAGAGAGGCUGAAUGAGAGGAGUGGGGGAAGUGUGGAGAAAGAGAAGAAUGAGGAUCCAAGAGAGGAUAGAGGGGGAAGAGGGGAAGAGGGGUGAGAAGUAGUCUCCCCAUCUCCUCUCUCCCUCCCCAUCUCCUCCCUCCCUCUCCAUCUCCUCCCUCCCCAUCUCCUCCCUCCCUCUCCAUCUCCUCCCUCCUUCUCCAUCUCCUCCCUCCUUCUCCAUCUCCUCCCUCUCCAUCUCCUCCCUCCCCUUCUCCUCCCUCCCCAUCUCCUCCCUCCCCUUCUCCUCCCUCCCCAUCUCCUCCCAUCCCCUUCCUCGCUCCCUCUCCAUCUCCUCCCUCCCCAUCUCCUCCUCCCUCCCCAUCUCCACCCUCCCCAUCUCCUCCCUCCCCAUCUCCUCCUCCCUCCCCAUCUCCACCCUCCCCAUCUCCUCCUUCCCAAUCUCCCUCGCCUUAAUGAUUCCGCAUAUAUGUUUAGGCCAACUCAUUUUCCUUCAACAUGAAGGAGAUCAACCCUUAUAUUCCCCAGUUGUUUUCUGUGUUUGUUAUAUACGUGGACCUCUAAAGCAUUUACGUAUGAUACAAGCCAUGUAAACAUACAGUAAAAUAAUUGUGUCACAAAAUGUAUUAGUUUGAAUGCAAAUCUAGUGUCCAUGUUUUCACAGACGGUUUUACAGAGACCAUUGAGAGCAAUAAAGUCCUUCUGACUGUAAACUCUGCCCUCAGCCUGUGUUUCCCCCUGAUAAACCCCAGACACAAUUCACAAUGAAGUAAGUUAGGGUUUAAGAAGUGACGCUGUAGCUGUUUUUUCUCAAGCAAUAUCCAGUGUCUCCCAGGCCGCCCUGCAGCUCUCGCAGUUCAAAUAUUGUGUGUGAUUGCGUGCGUGUGUUUGCGUGCGUGUGUGUGUGCGUGUGUGUGUGUGGGAGAGUUAAAUCAUCAGACCUGUCAGAUAUCCUCAACACCACUAUAUGAAACUCAACAAGAUAGAACAACAGGACACAGUGGGGUAAUGGGGCUGUACAGCCUCUAAUAGGACACAAAACCAGCACAGGCUAAAUGAUUUGCCAUUGAUUAGAGUACCCCACACCAGGGAUAUCUCUGAAGAGAUGUGAAGGAUGUGGCUUGCUGCUGGGACUGGGCAGACCAUUGUGUUGUUCUUUCACAACUACUAGUGUCAAAGAGCGUGUUCACACACAAGCACACACACACACAGUUGAGAUGUAGAGCUCUGAGAAAAGGGGAGGAGAAAUGGGAGAGGGGAGGAGAAAAGGGGAGAGAGAAUAAAAGAGGUCUGGUAGUUAGCCAUAUAAUCAGAUAGUUAGUUAGUCAUAUAAUUUGGUACUUUGUAAACCAUAUAAUCUGGUAGUUAGGAGGAAUGGGAGAGGGAAGGAGAAAAGGGGAGAGAGAAUGAGAGGUAAAGCAUUUGGUAGUUAGUUAGCCAUAUAAUCAGGUAGUUCAUUAGCCGUGUAAACUAAUAGUUAGUUAGUUAUAUAAUCAGGUAGUGAGAUGGCCAUAUAAUUUGGUAGUUAGCCAUAUUAUCUGGUAGUUUGUUAGUCAUAUAAUCAGUUAGUUAGAUGGCCAUAUAAUCUAGCUAGCCAUAUAAUCUGGUAGUUAGCCAUAUAAUCAGUUAGUUUGUUAGCCAUAUAAUCUAGUUAGCCAUAUAAUCUGGUAGUUAGCCAUAUAAUCUGGUAGUUAGUUAGUUUUAUCAUCUGGAACUUUGUUAGCUAUAUAAUCUGGUAGUUAGUUUGCCAUAUAAUCUGGUAGUUAGCCAUAUAAUCAGGUAGUUCGUUAGCCGUAUAAUCUGGUAGUUAGUUUGCCAUAUAAUCUGGUAGUUAGGAGAAAAUGGGAGAGGGGAGGAGAAAAGGGGAGAGAGAACGAGUGGUAAAGCAUCUGGUAGUGUCAUGUUUGUCGAAAGGAGUGGACCAAGGUGCAGCGUGAAUAGAGUUCCACAUACUUUAUUAAAAUGUGAAAUUUAACAAAAACAACAAAGAAUCAACGAACGUCCAGUACCGAGCACACUAAGACACUAACUGAAAACAAAACAAUAUCCCACAAACGCAGGUGGGAAAAGGACCACGUUAAGUAUGAUCCCCAAUUAGAGGCAACAAUCAUCAGCUGCCUCCAAUUGGGAACCAUACUCACACCAACAUAGAAAUAUAAUACUAGAACACCCCCUAGUCAUGCUCUGACCUACUGCACCAUAGAGAACCCCAAGGGCUCUCUAUGGUCAGGGUGUGACAGGUAGUUAGUUAGCCAUAUAAUCUGGUAGUUAAUUAGCCAUAUAAUCUGGUAGUUAGGAGAAAUGGGAGAGGGAAGGAGAAAAGGGGAGAGAGAAUGAGAGGUAAAGCAUCUCGUAGUUAGUUAUUCAUAUAAACUGACAGUCAUAUAAUCAGGUAGUUAGUUAGCCAUAUAAUCAGGUAGUUAGUUAGCCAUAUAAUAAGGUAGUUUGUUAGCCAUAUAAUCUGGUAGUUAGCCAUAUUAUCUGGUAGUUAGAUGGCCAUAUAAUCUGGUAGAUAGCCAUAUUAUCUGGUAGUUAGCCAUAUAAUUAGGUAGUUAGUUAGCCAUAUAAUCAGGUAGUUAGUUAGCCAAAUAAUUAGGUAGUUAGUUAGCCAUAUAAUUAGGUAGUUAGUUAGCCAUAUAAUCAGGUAGUUAGUUAGCCAUAUAAUUAGGUAGUUAGUUAGCCAUAUAAUCAGGUAGUUAGUUAGCCAUAUAAUUAGGUAGUUAGUUAGCCAUAUAAUCAGGUAGUUAGUUAGCCAUAUAAUUAGGUAGUUAGUUAGCCAUAUAAUUAGGUAGUUAGCCAUAUAAUCUGGUAGAUAGCCAUAUAAUCUGGUAGUUAGCCAUAUAAUCAGGUAGUUAGUUAGCCAUAUAAUUAGGUAGAUAGAUGGCCAUAUAAUCUGAUAGAUAGCCAUAUUAUCUGGUAGUUAGCCAUAUAAUCUGGUAGAUAGCCAUAUAAUCUGGUAGAUAGCCAUAUAAUCUGGUAGAUAGCCAUAUAAUCUGGUAGAUAGCCAUAUAAUCUGGUAGAUAGCCAUAUAAUCUGGUAGAUAGCCAUAUAAUCUGGUAGUUAGUUAGCCAUAUAAUUAGGUAGUUAGAUGGCCAUAUAAUUAGGUAGUUAGCCAUAUAAUUUGGUACUUUGUAAACCAUAUAAUCAGGUAGUUAGUUAGCCAUAUUAUCUGGUAGUUAGGUUGGAUGGGCUGGGGGGUAAGGGGACUGCUGGAGAGGACAAACAAUAGCCCCAGCUCUACCAGCAGCAGCUGAGUAAAAAGCUUUGAUGAGAGAAUUGUCUCUUUCUGUGGUCUAGCAUAAUGACGUCUCCAGGCUCUCUCUUUCUUCCCUUGUCUUUUCUGUUUCUCUCUUUCUUUUUCUCCCUCCCUCUCUGUUUCCUGAAGCCACAUUUAUUGAAGUUGGGGACUUUAAUAAAGGAAAUCUGAGGAAAAUAUUACCAAGGUUUUAUCAUUUCCCGUGCUUCUCGCUCAUUGAGCACUCUUGACCAUUACCACGCCCCCUUCCGGAACUGCUACAAGGCCCUCCUCCGCCCUCCCUUCAGCAAAUCAGAUCAGGCCUCCAUUUUGCUCCUCCUCUCCUAUAGGCAGAAACCUAAACAGGAAGUACCUGUGGUAAGGACUGUUCAACGUUGGUCUGACCAAUCGGAAUCUAUGCUUCAAGAUGGUUUUGAUAACAUAGACUGGGAAAUGUUCCGGGCUGCUUCUGAGAAUAGUAUUGACGUAUACACUGACUCUGUGACUGAGUUCAUCAGGAAGUGCAUAGAGGAUGUUAUUCCCAGUGUAAGGAUUAGAAUUUAUCUAAACCAAAAGCCGUUGAUAGAUGGCAGCAUUCACGCACAACUGAAAACGCGAACCACCGCAUUUAACCACGGCAAGGUGACUGGGAACAUGGACGUGUACAAACAGACCAGCUACGCCCUCUGUAAGGCAAUCAAACAGGCAAAAUGACAGUACAGGGACAAAGUGGAGUUGCAAUUCAACUGCUCAGACACAAGAAGCAUGUGGCAGGGACUCCAGAUAAUCACAGAUUCUAAAGGGAAAACCAGCCACGUCGCUUCCAGACAAGCUAAACCUUCUUCACCUGCUUCGUGGAAAACACAGAGCCGCCGACGCGGGCCACUUCCUCUUACAAGGACUGUGAGCUUUCGUUCUCCGUGGCCGAUGUGAGAAAGACAUUUAAGCCCUCGCAAGGCUGCCGACCCAGACGGCAUCCCUAGCCGGGUCCUUAAAGCAUGUGCAGACCAGCUAGCUGGAGUGUUUACAGACAUAUUCAAUCUCUCCCUAUCUCAGUCUGUUGUUGCCACUUGCUUCAAGAUGUCCACCAUUGUUCCUGUACCCAAGAAAGAGAAGGUAGUGCUUUGAGAGGCUAGUUAAAGGAUCAUGUCACUUCCACCUUACCCGGUACCCUAGACCAACUACAAUUUGCAUACCGCCCCAACAGAUCCAUGGAAGAUACAAUCACCAUUUCACUGCACACUACCCUAUCCCAUCUGGACAAGAGGAAAAUCUAUGUAAGAAUGCUGUUCAUUGACUAUAGCUCAGCUUUCAAAUCUCCAAGCUCAUCACUAAGUUCGGAGCACUGGGUCUGAACCCUGCCCUGUGCAACUGGGUCCUGAACUUCCUGACGGGCCGACCCCCAGGUGGAGAAGGUAGGCAGCAACACCUCCGUCAUGCUGAUCCUCAACAUGGGGACCCCACAAGUCUACGUGCUCAGCCCCCUCCUGUACUCCCUGUUCACCCUUGACGUGGUCGCCACGCACAACUCCAACACCAUCAUCAAGUUUGCGGAUGACACAACACAGCUCGGCCUGAUUACCAUCAACGAUGAAACAGCUUACAGGGAGGAGGUGAGGGCCCUGGCGGAGUGGUGCCAGGACAACAACUUAUCCUUCAACGUCAGCAAGACAAAGGAGCUGAUUGUGGUUUACAGGAAACGGAGGGCCGAGCAGGCCCCCAUUCACAUCGAUGGGGCUGAAGUGGAGCGGGUCGAGAGUUUUGAGUUCUUCGGUGUCCACAUCAGUAAGGAUCUAUCAUGGUCCAAACAUACCAACACAGUUGUGAGUAGUCGUCUACUAUUUGACUGCAGUUUCCUUCCAGUUCCCAGACUGCAUCAAAUCAAACUUUAUUUGUCACAUGCGCCGAAUACAAUAGGUGUAGACCUUACCGUGAAAUGUUUACUGACGAGCUCUUAACCAACAAUGCAGUUCAAGAAAGAUUAAAAGAAAAUAUUUAUCAAUAAACUAAAGUAAAAAAUUAUUAAAAGUAACACAAUAAAAUAACAAUAACGAGGCUAUAUACAGGGGGUACCGGUACCGAGUCACUGUGCGGGGGUACAGGUUAGUUGAGAUAAUUUAUACAUGUAGGUAGGGGUAGAGUGACUAUACAUAGAUAAUAAACAGCGAGUAGCAGCAGUUUUAAAAACAAAUGGAGAGGGAGGGUCAAUGAAAUUAGUUUGGGUGGUAGCAGUCUUUUGGCUUGGGGGUAGAAGCUGUUAAGGAGCCUUUUGGUCCUAAACUUGGCACUCCGGUACCGCUUACCGUGCAGUAGCAGAGAAAACAGUCUAUGACUUGGGUCACUGCAUAUAGAGUAGAGCUCCAACAAACCCAAACCUGCUGGACUUAAUAAACAACACUUAUGUGAUUCACUCAGGUCAGACUCUUAAGCCUCUGUGAGAAAACAAGAGGUGCACUUUCUACCAAAAGUGUUGAAGUCUCACAGUUUCAUGUGUCUUUGCUUUCCGUUGGUCUCACUUGCCAAAGCUGAUAGAAAACAUCCUGAGGAUUUUCAUGGGAACUCUUUCUUUUUUUAGAUUUUUUGUUGUUGGUCGAACAGCAAAUACUGUGGGCAUGUCUGUCGGACAGUCACAGUUGACGUCUUUUUCUGCCACUUUGUGUGUGUGUGUGUGUGUGUCAGUCUCUCAUUAGUAACAGUCUGCUAUAACAGAAAGGGAUAUUGCACUUCCUUUUCAUUUGAAAGACUAUACUGAAACAGUGUUAAAAAAAUAGGGCAAACUACAAUUAAAUAGCCAACUUCAAUGCCAACUACACUGAAACCUCAACUACAAUAGCUAACACUGAAAUAUUGUUCUAAAAGAGGCAUAUAUCAGCAUUGAGUGCUUGUUUUCAUUUCCUCACACGUGAAGGGGGUCGGUGCAUUAAGUCCCGGUUGAAAAGGCUGCAGGUCUAUGUUUUCUCACCAUCUACACUGAACAAAAAUAUAAAUGCAACAUGUGAAGUGUUGGUUCCAUGUUUCAUGAGCUGAAAUAAAAAGACCUUUAGAAAUGUUCCAUAUGCAAAAAAAAAUGUUUAUCUCAAAUUUUGUGCACAAAUUUGUUUACAUCCCUUUUAGUGAUUAUUUCUCUUUUGCCAAGGUAAUCCAUUCGCCUGACAGGUGUGGCAUAUUAAGAAGCUGAUUUAACAGCAUGAUCAUUACACAGGUGCACCUUGUGCUGGGGACAAUAAAAGGCCACUCUAAAAUGUGCAGUUUUGUCACACAACUCAAUGCCACAGAUGUCUCAAGUUUUGAGGAAACGUGCAAUUGUCAUGCUGACUGCAGGAAUGUCCAUCAAAGCUGCCAGAUAAUUGAAUGUUCAUUUCUCUACCAUAAGCCACCUCCAACGUUCUUUUAUAUAAUUUGACAGUACAUCCAACUGGCCUCACAGCCGCAGACCACGUAAGUGUAUAGCGUCAUGUGGGCGAGCGAUUUGCUGAUGUCAAUGUUGUGAACAGUGCCCCAUUGUAGGGUUGGGGAAUGGUAUUGGCAGGCAUAAGCUACGGACAACCAACACAAUUGCAUUUUAUCGAUGGCAAUUUCAAUGCACAGAAAUACCGUGACGAGAUCCUGAGGCCCAUUGGAAGACCCAUUUAUUUUAAGGUGUCUGUGGCCAACAGAUGCAUAUAUGUAAUCCCAGUAAUGUGAAGUCCAUAGAUUAAUAAUAAUGAUGAAUUUAUUUCAAUUGACUGAUUUCCUCAUAUGAACUGUAACAGUAACAUUUUUGCAUGUUGCGUUUAUAUUUUUUGGUUCAGUAUAUGUUUAGUAUGUGUGCUCUGUGUGAGUAGAUCUCAGCAGCAUAUUUGGUCAGUCUGUAAGACUUCUCUGUCUCUGUGUGCGUGUGCAUGUGUGUGUGCGUUCACGUGCACUGAAUGCAUGCUUGCGCGAGAAAGUGAAAAAUUCUAGGAAACUCACCGAAUUAUCACUUUUUGGUGAAUAUAUCAUUGUGUCUGACUCUAAGAGGGAAUGUGUAUUGUAUUUUAUUUCUGUCUGAAAGUUAAACUGUAUGGUCUACUGAGCCAUGUGUACGUGCUACUAUUUGUGCGAGAGUUGUCUGUGCUAAAAUCCCUAGCUGGCCCAGUGGUGUAUUUGUUUGCCAUCUCUCUCUCCGUCCGACCAGGUGGUGUGCCCUUGUACAGAUGGUCCCUCCAUGCUGUCAGUUCCCUUUUCCUCUCCGGAUAUUCCCAGCAUUCUACGGCCAGCGGAACGCAGAGAGCAGCCGGGAACUCUGGGAACCAGGAGCAGGAAGCUAGCACCGAUCCAGUCGUUCCUUGGUUGGGCCAAGCAGAGCAGCGCUAGACGGGGAUGAGAAAUUUGGGAGACGGCUGUCACUGUAACUGGAGCAACAUCGCCCUCUGCUGGUUACUCAUACACCGGUCAUCAGAUCCCACCAUAAUACACUGUAUUACAUUACAAGAAAUACAGUAUAUUGUAUAUUUUAUAUCUUUGGUAAACUCUUGUCUGAACAAUAACUUUACCUAAUAUAUACCUUUAUAUUACAUCUAUGAAUGGGUAUAUCGUCUGCAUUCAGUUGGUGGCGGUUAACCAAACAGACUAUAAACAGCACAAAGUCAGGAUCUAGUUUACAUAAGACAUGAUGCCAAGCAAGUUCAUCCAUCAUUUUAUUGUGCUCUAUGGUAAUGUAUGAUAUCCAUAGUGUGUUACUGUUGAUCAACAUAUUGAUCUGAUCUGUGCUGUACGUUCAGUGGUUGAUCUUUGGUUAAUCUGUGCUGUACGUUCAGUGGUUGAUCUGUGGUUAAUCUGUGCUGUACGUUCAGUGGUUGAUCUGUGGUUAAUCUGCUGUACGUUCAGUGGUUGAUCUGUGCUGUACGUUCUGUGGUUGAUCUGUGGUUAAUCUGUGCUGUACGUUCAGUGGUUGAUCUUUGGUUAAUCUGUGCUGUACGUUCAGUGGUUGAUCUGUGCUGUACGUUCUGUGGUUGAUCUGUGGUUAAUCUGUGCUGUACGUUCAGUGGUUGAUCUGUGGUUAAUCUGUGCUGUACGUUCAGUGGUUGAUCUUUGGUUAAUCUGUGCUGUACGUUCAGUGGUUGAUCUGUGCUGUACGUUCAGUGGUUGAUCUGUGGUUAAUCUGUGCUGUACGUUCUGUGGUUGAUCUGUGCUGUACGUUCUGUGUUCUCAUCUCCUUUAGUUUGUUUUGAGGAACUCCCCUUCUCCUGUAAUACAAAGCACAUUCACAUCAGAUAAACAGACUAAAACCAGAUAAAUAAUGCCUUUUUUUGUGGUCACUAAAAAUAUGUUGAAAAACGUAAUUUCACAAUCAGUACAACUUGACCGUGUAAUCCCAAAAGAUAUCAGAAUGACAUGGCAGUGUUGUCCUAGGCCUUGUUAUAACAGACAAUAUGUGUGUGUCUCUUACCUGGAUCCUUCAUCACCCCACAGUACUCCUCACACUCCCUCUUGGAGUAGAACUUAUUACUGUUGACCUGGCAAUAGUCCUUUUUAUGUUCCAGACAGAGACCAGAGUUUGAGUGGAAGACCCAGAUCUUGGGCUGUCCAGUGCAGGGCUGAGCAUCCAUGGGCAGUCUACAGGCAGCUGUAGAGAGACACACACCAGACAGGAGGAAAGACAUGAGGGACAAUCUUGUCUCACGUAGUUUAUGGGCAUGGACAUCAUAUUGGUUUCUUGAAGUGGGUUGAGCAUUGUCACAUCAUCAACUAGGUUAGAAGUCAAGCCUGUGUCUCCUACGCACCACAAGACUGUAUAAGCACACUGAGCUAAAGUGAAGGCAUUAGCUCUGUGGAGCUAACGCAAGUCUCAAGCUCUUAGACAAGAUGACCCGUCACACGAGUGUGGUUCACCAACAGAAAAAACACCACAGUUACACUCUAUACCAGGGGUGUCAAACUCAUUCCACGGAGGGCCUAGUGUCUGCAGGUUUUUGGUUUUUCCUUUCAAUAAAGCCCUAGACAACCAGGUGUGGGGAGUUCCUAACUAAUUAGUAAUGUUAAUUCAUCAAUCAAGUACAAGGGAGGAGCGAAAACCCGCAGACACUCGGCCCUCCGUGGAAUGAGUUUGACACCUGUGCUCUAUACACUCACCCUCAUUGCGACAGCUCUGGAGACACUCCCUCUCGGUCACAAAGUUGUUCUGGUUGCCCAUGCAGCCUCCGUAGGUGAACAGCUGACAAGCCAUACUGGUGGAGUUGUAGAAGUACCUCUGCACUGUCCCGAAACAGGGACCUGCGUCCGGAUCGGCGUUACAGGACUCUGAAGAGAGAUGUAUAGCAGUGCAUUGUGUGUUUUAGCAUACAGUGGGGUCUGAAGUGAUUGACACCUUUGAUAAAGAUCAACAAAACUGACUGUAUAAAAUAAAUAAUUCAAAUACUGAGCUAUAUUGUAUGCUACAUUUACACAGUUGCUCAGAGAAAGAGAUUUAGUAAUAAUAAUAAUCAGUAAUAAGUAAUAAUUAUUUUCUCAAAAAGGUAGCGGUCAUAAUUAUUGACACACCUUUCAAUAUCUCACCUUGCGAGGAUAAUGGCACCCAACACUGGUGCGCAUGGCCAAAUAACUAUAUUUUCAUGUCAUCUGACCAAGCACUGGUUUCAAUCCAAGUGCCAAUGCCCCUUGGAUGACAUGAAAAUAGAGGUCUUUGGCCACGCACACCAGUGGUGGGUUUGGCAUCAAAAUGAGAACGCCUUGAGCAGAAAAUAACUUGAUACCUACUAAAGAAAUAUGGUGGUUGUGGGUUUGCUUCCAUUGGUCCUUGGACCCUUGUUUAUUUAAUUUAUUAUUAUAAUUGUUUUUCUCCCCAAUUGGUAGUUACAGUCUUGUCUCAUCGUUGCAACUCCCGUACUGACUAGGGAGAGGCGAAGGUCGAGAGCCGUGCGUCCUCCGAAACACAACCCAACCAAGCUGCACUGCUUCUUGACACAAUGCCCACUUAACCUGGAAGCCAGCCACGCCAAUGUGUUAGAGGAAACACCGUACACCUGACGACUGUGUCAGCAUGCACUGCAUCCGGCCCGCCACAGGAGUCGCUAGUGCGCGAUGGGACAAGGAGAUCCCUACCGGCCAAACCCUCCCUAACCCGGACAACGCUGGGCCAGUUGUGCGCCGCCCCAUGGGUCUCCCGGUCGCGGCCGGCUGCGACAGAGCCUGGACUCGAACCCAGAAUCUCUAGUGGCAUAGCUUGCACUGCGAUGCAGUGGCUUAGACCACUGCGCCACUCGGGAGGCCCAUUGGACCCUUGUUAAGGUCAAAGGCAUCAUGAAGUUUACCCAGUACCCAAGAAUGUUUGCCCAAAACCUGGUUACCUCAGCCAAGAGGUUUAAACUUGGCCUCAAGUGGAUCAUCCACAAGACAAUAACCCCAAGCUCACAUCAAAAUCCACAAAGAAAUGGUUAACCCUAUCAGUCCUGAGACCCCAUCAAAAAUCUGCUUUUCAUUUAUCUGACUUUCUUCAUUCUGCAUGUCCAGACCUAUUUAGCAUCACAAUUAAGUGUUUUACCAUUUUCCUUUCAGGACAACCGGGGCUGCAAGUAGAACAGAAAGUACUGAAAUUGGUUGCUCAGUGGGAAAUUAAUAUUCAACUAAUCAGUGACAACUGUGUGGAGUUAAGAGUUUGUGACAGCAACUAUGUGAGCUUAUAACAGUAUUAUAGACACUAUGUCCUGGGAUUUACUAUGAUCUUCUAUGUAGAUUAACCCUUACAGUAUUAUAGACACUAUGUCUUGGGGUUUACUAUGAUCUUCUAUGUAGAAGAACCCGGUACAGUAUUAUAGACACUAUGUCCUGGGAUUUACUAUGAUCUUCUAUGUAGAAGAACCCCUUACAGUAUUAUAGACACUAUGUCUUGGGGUUUACUAUGAUCUUCUAUGUAGAAGAACCCGGUACAGUAUUAUAGACACUAUGACCUGGGAUUUACUAUGAUCUUCUAUGUAGAAGAACCCCUUACAGUAUUAUAGACACUAUGUCCUGGGAUUUACUAUGGUCUUCUAUGUAGAAUAACCCCUUACAGUAUUAUAGACACUAUGUCCUGGGAUUUACUAUGGUCUUCUAUGUAGAAUGACCCCUUACAGUAUUAUAGACACUAUGUCCUGGGAUUUACUAUGGUCUUCUAUGUAGAAGAACCCCUUACAGUAUUAUAGACACUAUGUCCUGGGAUUUACUAUGGUCUUCUAUGUAGAAUAACCCCUUACAGUAUUAUAGACACUAUGUCCUGGGAUUUACUAUGGUCUUCUAUGUAGAAUGACCCCUUACAGUAUUAUAGACACUAUGUCCUGUGAUUUACUAUGAUCUUCUAUGUAGAAGAACCCCUUACAGUAUUAUAGACACUGUGUCCUGGGAUUUACUAUGAUCUUCUAUGUAGAAGGCCCACUUACCUUCUAACGACUCUUGUGUAGCUUGUGAGGUCAUAGAGCAAAACAUGUUACACGUGCAUAUUCAUAAGACUUUUGUAGCUCAAAACAUUCAGAUUCUACAGACGUUUUGGUAAAAAGACCAAGUCCCAGGCCAAUUCGGGAUCCGCCCUUGUACGGCAAACACCGCUCUAGCUCAGCCCCCGUUAAUAACACAGACUAAUGGUUGGUAUUUACGAGUGCAGAAGAAAUAGACUAAUUUAAUGGUAUAAAGGAUUCUGUAUGGAGGACUGGUCUAAGACCCCUCCCAAUGUGGUCUCCAACUCAUAAAGCCUUUUAGAAAAAGCCUCAGUGCUGUUAUCCUCGCAAGGUGAGGUAUUGAAAGGUAUUGAAAACAGAAGUGUCAAUCAUUUUGACCCCCUACCUUGUUAAACAAAAUCAAUUUUUCUGAGCAAUUGUAUUAGUAUAAAUAAAAUAAUUUUCCAAUUUAUUUGAGCAUAUGAUAUAGCUCAGUAUUUAGAAUUAUUUAUUUCAUUACAGUCAUUUUUGCUCGUCGUUAUCAACAGUGGGAAUAAUUUGGGACUCCACUGUACACUGUAAUUACAUGUAAUAUACAUGAGUGUUACUCAACUUCAGUCCUCCAGUAUCCCUAACAGUACAUGCUUCUAUUGUAGCCCUGGACAAGCACACCUGAUUCUUGUAUGACUUUAAUUAGCUAUGUUUGUCCGGAGCUACACCAAAAAUGUGUUCUAGCAGCUUCCAGCCAUUCAAAGACUAGACCCACAUAGAGCUGAUGCUAAAACGUACCUUCAAUGUAGAGGUCAAGGGCCUAGCAGGCCCACCAUGCACUCUCACCUUUACUCCUGAACAUCAUGAUUCCGGCACCAGAACCCUCCUCAGCGGGCAACUCAGGGAGGACUAUGUUCCUCUUGGCUCUCUGGGGACAGACAGACAGGUGAGUACUCAGCAGGGUUGGGGUAAAUUACAUUUUAAUUCCAAUCAAUUCAGGAAGUACACUGACAUUCCAAUUCCAAUUAUCGCCAAUGCUUUUCAUUUAGGAAAAUGUUGAUUUACUUUCUGUAAUGCCUUUAACCAAAGCUGCUUUUUGAUAUAAUCCCAGACUCUGACACGGGGUACAACCUCAACAUUGAAUAAUUGAAUACAGGAAGUACCAGUGCUGCUGCUACAGGCUCUGUUCCUGGUACACACUCCCCUGUGGACAGAGACAGGAGUUCAAAGGUCAAACAAUGUCCAGACACAUAGUGGAUGUCACUGGAGUGUGUGUGCGUGCGUACGUGCGCAUGUGGCUGUGUGCUUGCUGCCUGGUGUAUGUGAGUAUUUGUGCAUGUGUGUGCAGGGGCGGACUGGCUGGUCCAUAUUUUGCCCAGUGGGCCUGUUUAACUUUGUUUUUUUGUGCAAAAUUAUAAAUAUUCGGCUAAUAACGCGCUCCUGAAGGAAAAUGCCAAGGCCGAUUUAGAAAUGCCAAGGCCGAUUUCUGGUCCCAGUCCGCCCCUGUGUGUGUGCCUCUACCUUUGUUCUGUUUGAUGAUGAUUGUGUCGUCAGCCAUGCCCUGCUCCCUCACCAGCCUCCUGAAGUCAUCCAGGAUAGUGGGCGACAGUUCCAUGGUGCGACCUGAAGGAGGCAGCAUUUUAAUUGACUUCUACUGCUUAAUAUAAUUAACACUAUAGCUGUUUCUGAGUGGCCUCGUCUCAGAUCAGAUCUUCUGCUGCUGAAUAUAACAACACUAUAGCUGUGUCUGAGAGGCCUGGUUUCAGAUCUGUUUGUGGACCUGCCAACUCCUAUAGUCAUCAUCAUAUUUGUGUUUGUGCUGCUGAUUGACUGUGUAGCCAAAUCCUAUGGUCGUUGUCGUGACAAUCAUAAUUACAACCAAAGGAGUUGGCAAGACAGCACAAACAGAUCUGGUACCAGGCUACUGUCUCAGUGGUGUGAAGUUAAAUAAAUGACACUGGGGUGACACUCACUGUAUAGCUUGGCAGACUUUGUCUUCUCGCCUCCUGUUUUUUGUUUACUCAACAUGACGAUGGCGUACUCAUCAUAGUUAGUGUCAACCACAUAGGCAUCAACAUCAGCCG